UAUCUCUGUAGAGUCUGCAUAUCAAUAAGCGGAGGAAAAGAAACUAACUAGGAUUCCCUCAGUAACGGCGAGUGAAGCGGGAAGAGCUCAAAUUUGAAAUCUUCAAGGUUUUACCUUGACGAAUUGUAGUUUAAAGAAGUGUUUUCUGUUGGAGUUUUGGUAAAAGUUCUUUGGAAUAGGACAUCAUAGAGGGUGAGAAUCCCGUAUUUGACCAUUACUUUCCAGCGUUGUGAUACACUUUCAAAGAGUCGGAUUGUUUGGGAAUGCAGUCCAAAAUGGGUGGUAAAUUUCAUCUAAAGCUAAAUAUUGGCGAGAGACCGAUAGCGGACAAGUACCGUGAGGGAAAGAUGAAAAGAACUUUGAAAAGAGAGUUAAACAGUACGUGAAAUUGUCAAAAGGGAAGCGUUUGACACCAGUGUUGUUUCUACGAAAAUCAAUUUAUGAUGGCUUGAUGCUAAGCUUUAAGACUUUAUCCGCUUGUUGUUUAGUUUUCUUGUCUUUGUGAAUGCACUUUUCGUGGACAAGUCAACAUCAAUUUCUUUUGCUGUAAAAGGGUAAGAGGAAGGUGGCUUCGGCUUCGGUUGAAGUGUUUAUAGCCUUUUAUCUCUGCAGUCGGAGAGAUUGAGGUCUGCAGCGUAGACUCUUCGGGGUUAGAUACGUCGGUGCUAAGCUAUAGCUUUUCAUAGACAACUUGUUGACUAUGUUUAGUCAUGUGGCUUACCCGCUGGCGCUAUUUUACCUACGCUUAGGAUGUUGAGUCAUCACACAUCUCU
rnacentral:rRNA from 1 species